rnacentral:rRNA from 1 species
AUUGAACGCUGGCGGCAUGCUUUACACAUGCAAGUCGAACGGUAACGCGGGGCAACCUGGCGGCGAGUGGCGAACGGGUGAGUAAUGCAUCGGAACGUGCCCGGUAGUGGGGGAUAACUGCUCGAAAGAGCAGCUAAUACCGCAUACGACCUGAGGGUGAAAGGGGGGGGUCGCAAGACCUCUCGCUAUUGGAGCGGCCGAUGUCGGAUUAGCUAGUUGGUGGGGUAAGGGCCCACCAAGGCGACGAUCCGUAGCUGGUCUGAGAGGACGACCAGCCACACUGGGACUGAGACACGGCCCAGACUCCUACGGGAGGCAGCAGUGGGGAAUUUUGGACAAUGGACGCAAGUCUGAUUCAGCCAUGCCGCGUGCGGGAAGAAGGCCUUCGGGUUGUAAACCGCUUUUGUCAGAGAAGAAAUCUUCUGGGUUAAUACCUCGGGAGGAUGACGGUAUCUGAAGAAUAAGCACCGGCUAACUACGUGCCAGCCGCCGCGGUAACAC